GGGGCUGACAUGGACUUGACAGCAGGGUAAAGUGGUAAGUAAGCAUGCCGAGCGUUGGGUGGCUGGCUCGUUAAUCCCAGGACUCAGACUUUUAACUGGCGAAAACAAUUACGCUCUCGCUGCUUAAUCGAAGCAUAGUAGAUUAAGCUUAAUCCCGACCCAAGGGGACGGGACGAGACAUCUCCCGGAGGCCGUUGUUUCGGGGCGCUCCGAUCAGGAGGUGCAGGUAAACCGGAACUAGUCUGAAGAGGGCUCCGAUCUUCAGGCGAAAUUUAAGGAGCUAAGGGUUGGUUCGGGUGUCGUUUCCCAGACCAAUCACGAAAACCAAAAAACGACUAAGCAUGUAGAAAGCUUAUGGCUUCCUUGUCUGGACCCGGGUUCGAUUCCCGGCAGCUCCACUC
rnacentral:tmRNA from 2 species